AUGAUUCAAUCUUUUGUCUUACAAUUUCUAAAAAAUCAAAAAUUUUAAAUCAAAUAAAAGAAAUAUUGUCAAGUAAAUUCUAAAUUCAAGGUUUUUAAAAGUACAAAACAUA
rnacentral:tRNA from 1 species